AAGACGAUUGGGUAAAUGGGAAUCAGGUGAGAGACCUGAGCUGUUCCUGCAGCUGUAAGCCCCUUUUUACCUGUUACAACAAGCCACUGACAACCGUCGGGAAGGCGUAACAGAGGGGGUAAGCCAGAAGACCGACCUUAUCGUAAU
rnacentral:ncRNA from 1 species